ACACUCUAAAAACUCCUGGGUUAUUUCUUUAACCCAUUUUCUGGGUUAUUUGUGUUGGGUUAAAAUUAUGGGUUAUUUUUUCAGAGAGUAACCAUUUUCUGGGUUAUAGGGCUAAUAUUUUGACCCAAUUCCUGGGUUGUUUAGGUUUCUGGGUUAUUUUUCAAAGAGUAACCCAUGUUCUGGGUUAACGCCCCUUCCCCCCGCCCCCGCUGUUGUUCUGGAAUUUUCUCACAACAGUCGUUUGAAACAACCGUUACUUGAACUUGAACGCACUCGGUCCGUUUUGGCCUGGGCUUCUUCGGUGCAACUUCAUCGCGUAUUCAAGGUCAUUAUAAAUGGACAGCUUUGUCGCUGAUAAGCUAACUGAGUGGCGGAUGUCUGGACUGAUAGAGAAUUUUAGAGGUGAAGACAUAGAUGAGGAGGCAUUUCUUCUCUUAGAUGAGGACACUAUCAAAAAUCUUGUCCCUCAAGUUCAAUCCAGUUAUUGAAUGUUGUCAAAUGUUUGAGAGAGAAUGAGUUGUUUAUUUUUCUAUUUUUUCUAAUGUCUAAUGUUAUUACAGUGUGACCUAAGAUAAAUAGGUCCAAGUGUGUAGAGUUUAAUUUAAUUUAAUGCAAUAAAAAUGUA